CGCUCAACGGAUAAAAGCUACCCUGGGGAUAACAGGCUGAUCUGAUCCAAGAGUUCACAUCGACGAUCAGGUUUGGCACCUCGAUGUCGGCUCAUCACAUCCUGGAGGGGAAGUACCUUCCAAGGGUCUGGCUGUUCGCCAGUUAAAGUGGUACGCGAGCUGGGUUCAAAACGUCGUGAGACAGUUUGGUCCCUAUCUGUCGUGGGCGCAGGAAGUUUGAUAGGAGUUGUCCUUAGUACGAGAGGACCAGGAUGAACGUAGCAAUGGUAUAUCGGUUGUCACGCCAGUGGCAUGGCCGGGUAGCUACCUACGGAAUUGAUAAACGCUGAAAGCAUCUAAGCGUGAAGCAACCCUAAAGAUGAGACUUCCCAUUCGAAAGAAGUAAGACCCCCUGAAAGUUACAGGGUUGAUAGGUUAGAAGUGUAAGCAUAGCGAUAUGUUCAGCUGACUAAUACUAAUAGGUCGAGGACUUAAUUU
rnacentral:rRNA from 1 species